GGGCGAUUGGCUCAGUUGGUUAGAGCACUACCUUGACAUGGUAGGGGUCACAGGUUCGAGUCCUGUAUCGCCCAUCA
rnacentral:tRNA from 1 species